CGGCAGACGGGUGAGUAACACGUUGGAAUCUGCCUUAGAGUCAGGGAUAAGCCUCAGAAAUGAGGUCUAAUACCGGAUAGUCCCGAAAGGGUAAAGUAUUUAUACGCUCUAAGAGGAGCCUGCGGUCUAUCAGCUUGUUGGUAAGGUAAAAGCUUACCAAGGCUAUGACGGAUAACUGGUCUGAGAGGAUGAUCAGUCACAAUGGAACUGAGACACGGUCCAUACUCCUACGGGAGGCAGCAGUGAGGAAUCUUCCGCAAUGGGCGAAAGCCUGACGGAGCAACACCGCGUGGAGGAUGACAGCGUUUUCGUUGUAAACUCCUUUUCUGAGGGAAGAAUUCUGACGGUACCUCAGGAAUAAGCAUCGGCUAACUACGUGCCAGCAGCCGCGGUAAGACGUAGGAUGCAAGCGUUAUCCGGAAUUAUUGGGCGUAAAGAGUUCGUAGGCGGUUAAUUAAGUUGGAUGUUAAAGCUCUGAGCUCAACUCAGACACGGUGUCCAAAACUGGUUAACUAGAGACAGGUAGAGGCAAGUGGGAAUUCUGCAUGUAGGGGUAAUAUCCCGUAGAUAUGCAGAGGAACACCAAAAAGCGAAGGCAGCUUGCUGGACCUGUUCUGACGCUCAAGAACGAAAGCGUGGGGAGCGAACGGGAUUAGAUACCCCGGUAGUCCACGCCCUAAACGAUGAACACUAGGUGUUGG
rnacentral:rRNA from 1 species